rnacentral:rRNA from 1 species
CCUACGGGGGGCUGCAGUGGGGAAUAUUGGACAAUGGGGGCAACCCUGAUCCAGCCAUGCCGCGUGUGUGAAGAAGGCCCUCGGGUUGUAAAGCACUUUCAGUGAGGAAGAACGCCUGGUGGUUAAUACCCAUCAGGAAAGACAUCACUCACAGAAGAAACACCGGCUAACUCCGUGCCAGCAGCCGCGGUAAUACGGAGGGUGCGAGCGUUAAUCGGAAUUACUGGGCGUAAAGCGCGCGUAGGUGGCUUGAUAAGCCGGUUGUGAAAGCCCCGGGCUCAACCUGGGAACGGCAUCCGGAACUGUCAAGCUAGAGUGCAGGAGAGGAAGGUAGAAUUCCCGGUGUAGCGGUGAAAUGCGUAGAGAUCGGGAGGAAUACCAGUGGCGAAGGCGGCCUUCUGGACUGACACUGACACUGAGGUGCGAAAGCGUGGGUAGCAAACAGGAUUAGAUACCCCUGUAGUC